UACGUAGGGGGCAAGCGUUGUCCGGAUUUAUUGGGCGUAAAGGGCGCGUAGGCGGCCUGCUAAGUCGAACGUGAAAUCCCCGGGCUCAACCCGGGAACUGCGUCCGAUACUGGCAGGCUUGAAUUCGGGAGAGGGAUGCGGAAUUCCAGGUGUAGCGGUGAAAUGCGCAGAUAUCAGGAGGAACACCGGUGGCGAAGGCGAGUCCCUGGACAACUCCUGACACUGAGGCACGAAAGCUAGGGGAGCAAACAGG
rnacentral:rRNA from 1 species